UACGUAGGGUGCAAGCGUUGUCCGGAAUUAUUGGGCGUAAAGAGCUCGUAGGCGGUCUGUCGCGUCUGCUGUGAAAACUCAGGGCUUAACCCUGAGCUUGCAGUGGGUACGGGCAGACUAGAGUGCGGUAGGGGAGACUGGAAUUCCUGGCGUAGCGGUGAAAUGCGCAGAUAUCAGGAGGAACACCGGUGGCGAAGGCGGGUCUCUGGGCCGUAACUGACGCUGGAGGAGCGAAAGCAUGGGGAGCGAACAGG
rnacentral:rRNA from 1 species